GACGAACGCUGGCGGCGUGCUUAACACAUGCAAGUCGAACGGAAAGGCCCUGCUUUUGUGGGGUGCUCGAGUGGCGAACGGGUGAGUAACACGUGAGUAACCUGCCCUUGACUUUGGGAUAACUUCAGGAAACUGGGGCUAAUACCGGAUAGGAGCUCCUGCUGCAUGGUGGGGGUUGGAAAGUUUCGGCGGUUGGGGCUGGACUCGCGGCUUAUCAGCUUGUUGGUGGGGUAGUGGCUUACCAAGGCUUUGACGGGUAGCCGGCCUGGGAGGGUGACCGGCCACAUUGGGACUGAGAUACGGCCCAGACUCCUACGGGCGGCAGCAGUGGGGAAUAUUGCACAAUGGGCGGAAGCCUGAUGCAGCAACGCCGCGUGCGGGAUGACGGCCUUCGGGUUGUAAACCGCUUUCGCCUGUGACGAAGCGUGAGUGACGGUAAUGGGUAAAGAAGCACCGGCUAACUACGUG
rnacentral:rRNA from 1 species